AUACGGAGGAUGCGAGCGUUAUCCGGAUUUAUUGGGUUUAAAGGGUGCGUAGGCUGUUUGUCAAGUCAGAGGUGAAAGGCCGCAGCUCAACUGUGGAAUUGCCUUUGAUACUGGCAGGCUUGAAUACUGUUGCCGUGGGAGGAAUGAGUAGUGUAGCGGUGAAAUGCAUAGAUAUUACUCAGAACACCGAUUGCGAAGGCAUCUCACGAAGCAGAGAUUGACGCUGAGGCACG
rnacentral:rRNA from 1 species